GUAAUUCCUCCAUUUCUG
rnacentral:tRNA from 1 species